rnacentral:ncRNA from 1 species
UUAAAAUCAAAGAUGGAGAGAGUAGAUUACUGCGUCUUUCAGAGAGGAUAUGCCACAGGCUGAGAGCAUAUUCAGCAACGUAUUAUUUGAAGUUCACUCCGGAGAUUCAAGGCUGAAUUUAUAGUAGGCUUUGACGGCCAAGCCGUUAUAGUUUCAAGUGGUCUGUAUCAGUACAGACAAUUUGGGUGGCACCGCGAACAACCUUCGUCCCAUUU